UACGUCGACCAGGACUGCUGCAGCAGAGACGGCAUGUCGAAGACAGCUGCCUUGUUUCAUGAGUGGGGCAACCUCGUAAUCUGUCUGGACAUCUGGCACUACAUGCAACGUAUCGCAGGUGGUGUCACAACUCACUCUCCUCCUCCUCAGACUCUGAGGACAAGGUCAAAGGUCCUGAUGGCCAGCCGGGAUAUCAGCACGUCCUGAAGCUGGCCCAGGCCUUGGUGGAGGUGAGGAGCCUGAACGGGCUUAGCGAGUCCAGGAUAGACCGUCUCAUUGCGCUCUGGCAGCGCCUGCCGGAGCCAGACAAGCAGAGACUGAUCUAACCUUCCAGGUACCAGGGGAGGAAAGUCAAGGGGUGCUUCAAGGCAGCGAAGGGGAAAACCGUCCCCCAUCCUGGCAGGCAGAGCCUCCAGCGCUGCAUCCUUGGAGUCAACUCAGGCCCAGCAAACCGGACACCAGCCGCCUGGUAGAGGCCAUUUGCAGCCAUCCGUAUCAGGGUUAUCAUGAGGAGUCGAUGGUCCCUCAUCCACAGUGACUACGUGGCGAUACGGGAGACAGUGCUGGCAUGCCCGAGAAUGAUGGCUCAGACCACCAUCUAACUCUUUGAGCUGAACCAAAGGACCAUCUCCCAGUGGUGAGAGCCGUUUGACUGACAUAAAGUAUUUUCA